UAGUGAGUUUGAUCCUGGCUCAGGGUGAACGCUGGCGGCUUGCCUAAGACAUGCAAGUCGAACGCAGUAGCUUGCUACUGAGUGGCGCACGGGUGAGUAACACGUAACUGACCUACCCCGUAGUCCCGCACAACGGUCCGAAAGGACCGCUAAUUCGGGAUGUGAACCCGCACCGUGGUGCGUGUUUAAAGAUUCAUCGCUAUGGGAUGGGGUUGCGGCGCAUCAGCUUGUUGGUGAGGUAAAGGCUCACCAAGGCGACGAUCUUUAGCUGGUCUGAGAGGAUGAUCAGCCACACUGGGGACUGAGACACGGCCCAGACUCCUACGGGAGGCAGCAGUGGGGAAUUUUCCGCAAUGGGCGAAAGCCUGACGGAGCAAGACCCGCGUGGGGGAGAAGGCCCUUGGGUUGUAAACCGUCUUUUGUCAGGGUAAGAAGCGCAAGUGACGGUACCUGCAGAGAAGCACCGGCUAACUCCGUGCCAGCAGCCGCGGUAAUCUGAUGGCGCG
rnacentral:rRNA from 1 species